rnacentral:tRNA from 4 species
GCCGGGAUCGCCUAGCCUGGUUAGGGCGGCGGCCUGCUAAGCCGUUGGGGGAAACCCCGCGUGGGUUCAAAUCCCACUCCCGGCG